rnacentral:RNase_P_RNA from 1 species
CAAAGAAGAUAGAAUGUCUGUCCAGCACCUACUUUGUUAGUCUUAUUACUUUAACCAUCAAAGUAGGUGCUGGAAGGAAAGUCCGAACACCAGAGGGCAGGAUACUUCCUAACGGGAAGUCCCGGUAACGGGAAGCAAGCUCCACAGAAACAGACUUCCCUGCACCUACAUGAUGAGUUUCAGUUCCUCAUCAUGUAGGUGCGGGGUAAAGGUGAAAAGGUGGUGUAAGAGACCACCAGACCCCGGUGUGAAUCGGGGUGCUCGGAAUGCCUUAUCCGGUGCAAUGCCAAAUAGAAGAGUUAGAGUCGGCCCGGCUUAUUUAACUCUUGGGUAGGCAGCUUGAACCGGUCAUUUUAUGAACUCGGAUGAGUAUAGCAAUAUCCGGCUUAGACAAAUAGACAUUGAAUUGCUUGUUAAGCAAUUUACAGAAUUCGGCUUAUUAUCUUCUUUGACAA